AAUCUCCCUCAAUUGAGUCUUGUUGAUAAUGAUGAGUCUUCUAGCUUGGGUAAUAGAAAACGAUUCCGACCAGGCAUUCAGAUUCUUGAUGUAGAGGAAUGUGAUGAUAAUCUAGAUGAUGGUCAGAACUCAGAUAUGCUCACAGAAACUCAAGAAAGUCUACUCUUCAAAAGUUCACGAUUGAUGAAGAACUUUAAGAAAGUAGAGUCGGCAUAUUUUUUGACAAGAUGCAGGCCAGCAAGGCCAUCAGGGAAACUUUGCACUAGACAUUCACCAAUGAGUAGUGAUGGGAGAGGUUCUAUUGUUGUUACUGAAAGGAGCUCCAUUAAUAACUUAGCACCAAAAGAGCUGCACGUUGAGAGUAGAAGAAGUGGAUGGAUAAGUCCAUUUCUCGAGGGUUUUUGCAAGUAUUUAUCUUUCAGUAAGUUAAAAGUUAAGGCUGAUUUGAAACAAGGCGAUUUGUUAAACUCUUCGAACCUAGUGUGCUCCCUUAGUUUUGAUCGUGAUGGACAACUUUUUGCUACAGCGGGUGUUAAUAAGAAGAUAAAAGUAUUUGAAUGUGAUACGAUUAUAAAUGAAAAUCGUGAUAUCCACUAUCCUGUUGUCGAGAUGGCUAGCAGGUCAAAACUAAGUAGCGUAUGCUGGAACAGUUACAUUAAAAGCCAGAUUGCUUCUAGUAACUUUGAAGGUGUGGUGCAGGUGUGGGAUGUCACACGAAGUCAAGUACUAACAGAAAUGAGAGAACAUGAGAGGCGUGUAUGGUCCAUUGACAUUUCAUCAGCAGAUCCGACAAUGUUGGCUAGUGGGAGUGAUGAUUGUUCUGUUAAGCUAUGGAAUAUCGAUCAGGGAGUAAGUAUUGGUACAAUCAGAACAAAGGCCAAUGUCUGCUCUGUUCAAUUUCCCUUGGAUUCUAGCCGUUCUCUUGCAUUUGGUUCCGCAGAUCAUAAAAUUUACUACUAUGAUCUUCGUAACUCAAAAGUGCCUUUGUGCACAUUGGUUGGACACAAUAAAACUGUGAGUUAUGUGAGGUUUGUAGAUCCAACAAAUCGUGUUAUCCGUGGAUGCAGAAACAAGAUACGGAUAACACGUUAAAGCUCUGGGAUUUGUCAAUGUGUGCAUCUCGGGUUAUUGAUACUCCCCUUCAAUCAUUCACGGGCCACAUGAACAUUAAGAACUUUGUGGGUUUGUCAGUAUCAGAUGGUUAUAUUGCAACUGGCUCAGAAACAAAUGAGGUUUUCAUCUACCAUAAAGCUUUCCCCAUGCCAGCAUUGUCAUUCAAGUUCAACAACAGCGAUCUGCUUUCAGGUCAAGAAAUUGAUGAUCCUGCACAGUUUAUUUCUUCCGUCUGCUGGCGAGCCCAGUCCUCUACCUUAGUUGCUGCAAAUUCUACUGGGAAUAUCAAAAUUUUGGAGAUGGUUUAAUUUGGUCUAUGCUCUUCAACCCACAAAUGAAAUUUUAUCAGAAGAAACAAGACAGUGAUGGUGUUUGGGCAGAAACAGUUGAAAUCAGGAUAACAAUCUUUGCACCAUAGGAAAUUGCGAAACUAAAGGAUAUGGGAACUCGAGGGUUGCAAUUAAAAUUACAACUUUUGGGAUUAGAUCAUAGAGGAUGCAAUUAAAGCAAUGAGAUAAUGCUCAGGAUCCAAUGCACUGUAGAUAAAAUUCAGGGGAAGAAAAGCAGGGAAGAAAAGGAAAAAAAGGAGCCAAAAUUUAUUUUUCCCCUUGUAUAUUUUUGCAAUGCUUAUAGUUAAAUCAUUUUUUCACAAGGGGCAGCGAUCUUUACCUCUUUCUUGACGUGUUCACUGGCUUAUCUCCUGCUUUAAAGAUGCGUUCUUCAUUCACUUGUUGUUGCUGUUGGAGC
rnacentral:misc_RNA from 1 species